CGAGCGCACCCUUGUCCUUAGUUGCCAGCCUUAAGUUGGGCACUCUAGGGAGACUGCCGGUGACAAACCGGAGGAAGGUGGGGACGACGUCAAGUCAUCAUGGCCCUUACGUGUAGGGCUACACACGUGCUACAAUGGCAUUUACAGAGGGAAGCGAGACAGUGAUGUGGAGCGGACCCCUUAAAGAAUGUCGUAGUCCGGAUUGGAGUCUGCAACUCGACUCCAUGAAGUCGGAAUCGCUAGUAAUCGUGAAUCAGAAUGUCACGGUGAAUACGUUCCCGGGCCUU
rnacentral:rRNA from 1 species